rnacentral:rRNA from 1 species
UACCAGCACCCCGAGUGGUCGGGACGAUUAUUGGGCCUAAAGCAUCCGUAGCCGGUUCUACAAGUCUUCCGUUAAAUCCACCUGCUUAACAGAUGGGCUGCGGAGGAUACUAUAGAGCUAGGAGGCGGGAGAGGCAAGCGGUACUUAGUGGGUAGGGGUAAAAUCCGUUGAUCCAUUGAAGACCACCAGUGGCGAAGGCGGCUUGCCAGAACGAACUCGACGGUGAGGGAUGAAAGCUGGGGGAGCAAACCGG